rnacentral:tRNA from 1 species
AUUUAUAUAGUUUAAAUAAAACAUUACAUUUUCAAUGUAAAAAUAAAAUAUUUUAUUUUUAUAAAUA